CUCCACCAGGCUCGUGUUUGGUUCCACAGAUAUUCAUCAGGGACCGCGCAUUGCAAUUGGUAGCCUUUCAACAGCACUGUGCAGAAUCAAGUCUUUGCAUCUCUGUAUGCGUACUCUAUGUUUGGACAUGGUUAUUGAAUUGAUGAGAUGUUUUCCGUGCAUGGAGAAGUUGUACAUUCAGUGCGAGAAAUCUGGGACGAAGAAUUUGUGGUGCCGUAAACACCGGAACCUUCUCAGAUCUUUUGUCAUCCAUCUAAAAAAAUAGUUUUGGAUUAUUAUCAGGCCAAAAAAUCUGACAUUGAUUUUGUAACCUUUUUCGUACUGAAUGCUAGAGCUCUAGAGUUGAUGACGGUUUUAGUCAAGAGCAACGAUGAGGAGUUCUUGGCAAAACAGCGUUAGAAGCUUCUGCUAGAGAGCAAGGCUUCAGAUGGGGCUGAAAUUAAUUUCGUACUCAAGGUGGACGCAAA